GAUGAAGAACGUAGCGAAAUGCGAUAAGUAAUGUGAAUUGCAGAAUUCAGUGAAUCAUCGAAUCUUUGAACGCACAUUGCGCCCCCUGGUAUUCCGGGGGGCAUGCCUGUCCGAGCGUCAUUACAACCCUCAAGCUCAGCUUGGUGUUGGGCCCCGCCGCCCCGGCGGGCCCUAAAGUCAGUGGCGGUGCCGUCCGGCUCCGAGCGUAGUAAUUCUUCUCGCUCUGGAGGUCCGGUCGUGUGCUCGCCAGCAACCCCCAAUUUUUUUCAGGUUGACCUCGGAUCAGGUAGGGAUACCCGCUGAACUUAAGCAUAUCAAUAAGCGGAGA
rnacentral:misc_RNA from 1 species